AAAUGGUCUUGUCUUUCUGCAGUGGGAAUGACUGUGUGCAGUCACCUAUAAAUAUGGAUAGGGUUGCACACACUUGUGCAGCUGGGAUAGAGUGCAUGUAUAACAAUACUAGAGCUUGCUGUAACUAUCACCCCUAUAGACAGACUCAGUGGAACAGCUGAAGCCUGAUGGAGAUGCUGAGCCUGAGACAGUGCUUCAUCCCUAGUGGAGGUCCCUCUGUGCUGGCUUUCAAACCCAUGGGAGCAACUCUGUGCAGGACUUUUUACUGAUUCAGCAUGUGCAGCCUACACACUACUUCGCUGAUUAUGAGAUUCCUGCGCUGCUGACUGAGGUGGCCGUGCAGAUAUCCCCUGCAAACAGAAAAUGAGGCUGUCCCUGUGAAAUGACCUGCUGGAGAAAAGGCUCAUUAAUCAGAAACAGGUACAGAGCUACAGCACUGCCUAACGCUGAUCACGUAAACAGGGGCUGACAGUGCUGUCUGAGCCAUUAGGCAGAGCAGUUCGGUAGACACUGAUGUUUUGUCGGACAGAAAGUUUAGUCAAGUGGUUCACGUAUGGGGGUGAGGAUGGAAGUGCCCACACUGCUUCCCAGCCCUCCUGCAGCGGUCACCUCGUAACAGAACCACUGAGAAAG
rnacentral:lncRNA from 1 species